GAUCUGGUGGUGUAAUGGUUAACACACCUGCUGGAAGUCCAGACUACAUGUGAAACCGUACAUAGGAGAUCUCUGUUCAAUUCAGGGCUAGGUCA